GUGCUCACCUCGGCAGUAGAUAUACUAAAAUUGGAACGGUGCAGAGAAGAUUCACGUGACUCCUGUGCAAGGAUGACACGCAAAUUCGUGACGUGUUCCAUAUUUUU
rnacentral:snRNA from 1 species